CACGUAGGCGGACCAUUAAGUCAGGGUGAAAGCCUGGAGCUCAACUCCAGAACUGCCUUUGAUACUGAUGGUCUCGAGUGUGGAAGAGGUUGGUGGAACUGCGGGUGUAGAGGUGAAAUUCGUAGAUAUUCGCAAGAACACCAGUGGCGAAGGCGGCCAACUGGUCCAUUACUGACGCUGAGGUGCGAAAGCGUGGGGAGCAAACA
rnacentral:rRNA from 1 species